rnacentral:rRNA from 1 species
AACGAACGCUGGCGGCAGGCCUAACACAUGCAAGUCGAGCGAGGACUUCGGUUCUAGCGGCGGACGGGUGAGUAACGCGUGGGAAUGUGCCCUUCUCUACGGAAUAGCCCUGGGAAACUGGGAGUAAUACCGUAUACGCCCUAUUGGGGAAAGAUUUAUCGGAGAAGGAUCAGCCCGCGUUGGAUUAGGUAGUUGGUGGGGUAAUGGCCUACCAAGCCGACGAUCCAUAGCUGGUUUGAGAGGAUGAUCAGCCACACUGGGACUGAGACACGGCCCAGACUCCUACGGGAUGCAGCAGUGGGGAAUCUUAGACAAUGGCGGCAACCCUGAUCGAGCCAUGCCGCGUGAGUGAUGAAGGCCUUAGGGUUGUAAAGCUCUUUCAGCUGGGAAGAUAAUGACGGUACCAGCAGAAGAAGCCCCGGCUAACUCCGUG